UCUGUCCGAGCGUCUGCCAACCUCAAAGUCCUCGCCGGGGUGCGAGGAGAUUGGGGAACUGCGGUGUCGACACCAAACCGACGCCGCACUCCCUGARGAUUUGAAGACCGGUGUGGUCGCCCGCCGUACGAGUCGGUCGGUGACGACGGCGCACAGUGUCGUCCCGCCGUGCUGGUGCGAGCGGAUGGCCGCUGCCGGUGAAGAUCGGGUCUUUGCAAAUCUGGACCUCGGAUCAGGCCAGGCUACCCGCUGAAUUUAAGCAUAUCAWUMAKCGGAGGAAAAGAAACUAACAAGGAUUCCCUUA
rnacentral:rRNA from 1 species